rnacentral:snoRNA from 1 species
GCAAAUGAUGACUUGAAAAUUCUUCACUUUGACCUGACUAAUCUGUGAUGAUCACCUUUUGUCUGAGC